UGAUGUGUAGCUCAGUUGGUAGAGCAGGCAAGCCCGCGGUUGGGUGCCAAAAAGUUGCACUUAGGUCCUGGUUCAAAUGCAACCAACCAGGAACUGAAACACUUAAAGUGUGGUGCGUCUAGUCGGUCCUGGGUUCGAUCCCCAGCACAUCCA